rnacentral:rRNA from 4 species
AGCUAAAUGCGGAAGAGAUAAGUGCUGAAAGCAUCUAAGCACGAAACUUGCCCCGAGAUGAGUUCUCCCUGAGACUUUAGGUCUCCUGAAGGAACGUUGAAGACGACGACGUUGAUAGGCCGGGUGUGUAAGCGCAGCGAUGCGUUGAGCUAACCGGUACUAAUGAACCGUGAGGCUUAACCUUACAACGCCGAAG